rnacentral:rRNA from 1 species
AUUGCACGCUGGCGGCAGGCAUAACACAUGCAAUUCGAACGAGUGGCGGACGGGUGAGUAAUGUCUGGGAAACUGCCUGAUGGAGGGGGAUAACUACUGGAAACGGUAGCUAAUACCGCAUACCAUCAGAUGUGCCCAGAUGGGAUUAGCUAGUUGGUGGGGUAACGGCUCACCAAGGCGACGAUCCCUAGCUGGUCUGAGAGGAUGACCAGCCAAACUGGAACUGAGACACGGUCCAGACUCCAACGGGAGGCAGCAGUGGGGAAUAUUGCACAAUGGGCGCAAGCCUGAUGCAGCCAUGCCGCGUGUAUGAAGAAGGCCUUCGGGUUGUAAAGUACUUUCAGCGGGGAGGCGUUACCCGCAGAAGAAGCAACGGCUAACUCCGUGCCAGCCGCCGCGGUAAUUC